UACGGAGGGGGCUAGCGUUGUUCGGAAUUACUGGGCGUAAAGCGUGCGCAGGCGGUUUGUUAAGUCUGUUGUGAAAUCCCCGAGCUCAACUUGGGAAUUGCAAUGGAUACUGGCAGGCUGGAGUAUGGUAGAGGAAGGUGGAAUUCCCGGUGUAGCAGUGAAAUGCGUAGAGAUCGGGAGGAACACCAGUGGCGAAGGCGGCCUUCUGGACCAAUACUGACGCUCAUGCACGAAAGCGUGGGGAGCAAACAGG
rnacentral:rRNA from 1 species